rnacentral:piRNA from 2 species
UAUGGUCCACAGUUAUAUCAGUCA